UUGAAAUCAUGAAACCAAUGAUCGGCGGCCCGCUCGGGAGUUCGUGAUGGAUGUCAAACGCAGUCGCUUCAGGAGUGAUAACCGAGACAAAGUCAUGUAGUGAUAUUCCUU